GCGAGCGUUGUCCGGAAUUAUUGGGCGUAAAGGGUGCGUAGGCGGCCUUUUAAGUCGAUGUGAAAGCCCGCGGCUUAACCGCGGAAUGGCAUUUGAAACUGGAGGGCUUGAGUGUCGGAGAGGGUAGUGGAAUUCCCAGUGUAGCGGUGAAAUGCGUAGAUAUUGGGAGGAACACCAGUGGCGAAGGCGACUACCUGGACGAUAACUGACGCUGAGGCACGAAAGCUAGGGGAGCAAACAGGAUUAGAUACCCUGGUAGUCCUAGCCGUAAACGAUGGGUACUAGGUGUNGGNGGUUUCGAUACCNUCAGUGCCGCAGCUAACGCA
rnacentral:rRNA from 1 species